CGCAAGCCUGACGGAGCAAGACCGCGUGCGGGAUGACGGCCUAAUGGUUGUAAACCGCUUUUCUCUGGGAAGAUGAUGACGGUACCAGAGGAAUCAGCCUCGGCUAACUCCGUGCCAGCAGCCGCGGUAAUACGGAGGAGGCAAGCGUUAUCCGGAAUUAUUGGGCGUAAAGCGUCCGUAGGUGGUUAUUCAAGUCUGCUGUCAAAGCGUGGGGCUUAACUCCAUAGAGGCAGUGGAAACUGGAUGACUUGGGUGCGGUAGGGGUCGAGGGAAUUCCCAGUGUAGCGGUGAAAUGCGUAGAUAUUGGGAAGAACACCAGUGGCGAAAGCGCUCGACUGGGCCUGCACUGACACUGAGGGACGAAAGCUAGGGGAGCG
rnacentral:rRNA from 1 species